AUUGAACGCUGGCGGCAGGCCUAACACAUGCAAGUCGAGCGGAUGAAGGGAGCUUGCUCCUGGAUUCAGCGGCGGACGGGUGAGUAAUGACUAGGAAUUUGCCUGGCAGUGGGGGAUAACGUCAGGAAAGGGGCGCUAAUACCGCAUACGUGCUGAGGGAGAAAGUGGGGGAUCUUCGGACCUCACGCGAUCAGCUGAGGCUAGGGCGGAUUUGCUAGUUGGUGGGGUAAAGGCCUACCAAGGCGACGAUCCGUAACUGGUCUGAGAGGAUGAUCGGUCACACUGGAACUGAGACACGGUCCAGACUCCUACGGGAGGCAGCAGUAGGGAAUAUUGGACAAUGGGCGAAAGCCUGAUCCAGCCACGCCGCGUGUGUGAAGAAGGUCUUCAGAUUGUAAAGCACUUUAAGUUGGGAGGAAGGACAGUAAGUUAAUACCUUGCUGUUUUGACGGUACCAACAGAAUAAGCACCGGCUAACUUCGUG
rnacentral:rRNA from 1 species